rnacentral:misc_RNA from 1 species
GAAAUGCGAUAAGUAAUGUGAAUUGCAGAAUUCAGUGUAUCAUCGAAUCUUUGAACGCACCUUGCGCUCCUUGGUAUUCCUUGGAGCAUGCCUGUUUGAGUAUCAUGAAAUCUUCAAAGUAAAUCUUUUGUUAACUCAAUUGGUUUCUACUUUGGUAUUGGAGGUCUUUGCAGCUUCACACCUGCUCCUCUUUGUUCAUUAGCUGGAUCUCAGUGUUAUGCUUGGUUCCACUCGGCGUGAUAAGUUAUCUAUCGCUGAGGACACUGUAAAAGGUGGCCAAGGUAAAUGCAGAUGAACCGCUUCUAAUAAUCCAUUGACUUGGACAAUACUUUUAUGAUCUGAUCUCAAAUCAGGUAGGACUACCCGCUGAACUUAAGC